rnacentral:misc_RNA from 1 species
AAAUAAGCUCUGCCAUUUCUGCAUCUGAGAGCUCCCGCCUUUUUUCUUCUGUAGCUAUAGCCCUUUUUGUUGUCUUAUCGAAUUUGGGAUUCCCACUGCUAGGCAGCAACAUAAUAAGGAGCAUCAUAAGUUAUAGGCCUCUUUAUCUUGUUUUGCUGACAAGUCUGACACUUGUGCUUGCACGGCUUUUAUUCAAUAAUCAGAGAGGUUUUGAAAGGGCUGUUGGAGGAGAACAUAAUAUACCUUCAACAAGCAAAUACGACUGGGCUGAGCAAGCAGGCAAGGCUUUGGAAGUAGGUUUGGUGAUGCAGAAGGCAAUUGAGGCAGUAUUCAUGGAUUGCAGUGUAUACGUACUAAUUGUAAUUGCUGGCUUUACUUUUGUAAAGUGACUCAACUUCAACUACUUUAUUUUGUAUACAAUUUAUUGCAACAUGUACUAAUUUAUAUUGAUGUUGGAUGGGAUCCAGGUG